UGUGGCGAUUCCUCAAGGAUCUAGAACCAGAAAUACCAUUUGACUCAGCAAUCCCAUUACUGGGUAUAUACCCAAAGGAUUAUAAAUCAUUCUACUAUAAAGACAGAUGCACACGUAUGUUUACUGCAGCACUAUUCACAAUGGCAAAGACUUGGAACCAACCCAAAUGUCCAUCAAUGAUAGACUGGAUAAAGAAAAUGUGGCACCUAUACACCAUGGAAUACUUUGUAGCAAAUAAAUGUCCUUAUAUUUUAAGUUGCUAAUAGUUUGGUUUCCUAUGAUUCGACAUUAAAAACACCCAUAAGUAAUACAUUCACUAAAUACGCUUAUAUGGCAGUGUUUUGACCCAGGUUUGACUGGAGACAAUGCUUGAAAUUUAUGUCACUUACCAUAAUA
rnacentral:lncRNA from 1 species